AGUAAUAUAUACUACGUAACUAGAAAACAUUGUAACAGUCUGUUCUCAAAUGUUUAAUCCCUGUAGCAGGAAGGAGUGUACUGAGCUGAGUUUUGCAGUGGCUUGUUUUACAAACUAUAAUGUGCAGUAUUGUUGGUUCACAGUGCAGGGUGGGGGCAGGAACACUUUAUUCUCUUUUUAAUUUUUUAUCUCAAUGGUAUGGGCAAUUAACUGUGCUUUCUCCUGUAUAUUUCCCAGCGACCACCUAAUGCAAUCAUUGGGCAGGAGGCCACUAUGGGUAGUUUAACAUCUGGAGAUUCACAUGUGGUAAUUUUACAUGAUGAGAAGGUGAAAGAGGCUAAGACAAAAUUGGAGUUGAUGACCAUACAGAAGCUGCAGAAGGCAACAAGUAGUAUGAGCUUUUUGUGGAAAAUAUUUAAUUAUUAGAAAAAAAAAUGUUGGGAAAGUUUACAGCUGAAAAGAGUUAUAUAGCUGAAAAUAUAUUGGUCCAGGAAGAAAUGUCAAGUUACUUGGAAUUUCAUUUUGGGAAGAAAAGUCUUUGCAAAGUUCAGUCUUUGCAAAGACUGAACAUUUCCAUUUUUAUUCAGAGAUUAUUGUCAAAAUAUUAAUAUUUUUUAUUCGGGAUAAUUAAGCAUUUCUUAAAUGUAAAUAGAAUUUUAAAAAUAGAUAGAAAUAAAAUUCGGAAGGAAAUAAAAUUAUCUUGAUCCAAGGCUAUUUUUCAUUUUACAGACAACUUUGAUUUUUCAUUUCUGGUCUUCCUCUGGCUGAAUAUUAAAUUUCCCUUUACAGGGAGGUGGAUGAUGAUGUACCUCUUGACCAGUUUUCUGUGCAAUACUGGAAAAGGCCACACGGGGGACAAUGCCGCAAGGUAGCUGAGAUUCGACAGAAAGCAGUGUGAUACAGAUUGAUUGCUACCUCUCAUCAAAAAGAUACAUUUCAGAAAGAGCCUAGACAAAAGUUUAUAUACAGGUGUAACUAAUUCAUUACACUUUAAUUUUGUUGGAUGAGGGCUGAAUUAGGUCCUCUGUAAUAAUUUCAGGUGAAAAAAGUAUCUAGAGAGUUAGCCCAUGAACACAUUAGAAGAUAAAAACCACUUAUGUGAGUCAAAAAGUCCAACCCAACAAAGGGAAAAUUCUUCUCCAACGCAUAAUUUUUACAUGAUUUUACAUGAAUGUGUGAAAUAAUUCAUCUGACCUUGGUGGUCUCUGAGAAAAGUCACAGGUCUCUGCAGUUUCUCUUAGACUAAAAAAAAAAAAAAAAAAAAAAAAAAAAAAAAAAGGUACAGCUGCUGAUCUGAGAGUCUCUGCGAGAUAAAGGACUACUGGAAAAGAUGGUGAGCACAACACUGUGCAUACACAGAUACAACAAGAAAUGUGGCAGAGUAGUACCAUGUACUUCUGGCACCAGCCAAUUUAAUUAUUUCUGUUUUAUUUUACUAUUUGGAAGAGCAGACACAGCCAUAGGCUAAUAAGGUAUGUUUUAGGUGUGAAUUCUAAUCAUGAUGAUUUUAUUUAAAGGGACUUUGUCAAUGAUAAGAUAAAUCAAGAGUAAUAACAGCAUGGGAUUUUAUUAGACUUUGUGCAUUAUGCAGAAAAACAUGCAGGAUUCCAUCAGUCAGCUUGCUGAUGCAGGUGAACUGCUGAACUGAUGGAUUCUCCACAACAGCUUAAUUAGCAACUGAACAUUUCAGCCCUCUAUGGAGGUGAAUUAAUGUACAAAACUUCUUCUGGCCUGAAAGGAGCUGUUGGCUGUUCCACCUUUGCCUGUCAGUCCACCUGUUAUCGUGGGGACCAUUUUUCUUCCCUCUUUUCAGUAUGUGGGGCUGGGGCUCCACAAACACAAAGGCCUCUGCAACAAACUCAGUUUAA